UGAGCUGAAGGAGAACAAA
rnacentral:sRNA from 1 species